UACGUAGGGGGCUAGCGUUGUCCGGAUUUAUUGGGCGUAAAGAGCGUGUAGGCGGCCAGGUAGGUCUGCUGUGAAAACUCGAGGCUCAACCUCGAGACGUCGGCGGAAACCAUCUGGCUAGAGUCCGGAAGAGGAGAGUGGAAUUCCUGGUGUAGCGGUGAAAUGCGCAGAUAUCAGGAAGAACACCCGUGGCGAAGGCGGCUCUCUGGGCCGGUACUGACGCUGAGACGCGAAAGCGUGGGGAGCGAACAGG
rnacentral:rRNA from 1 species